CUGCUUGUAGCCUUUGUGAAAAGCAGGACCAUGAGCAGCCAGGAAUGGAUGCAUGCUUGGGAGAGCAUUGUCAUAGCCGUGGUCACCUACUAAAAAGGAGAAAUGCAAAGUUAAUAAAUAUAAAAUUAAUGUUGUAAACUAAGUUGCUUACGAACUUUGUCAGCUAUGAUAUUAACUUUUUUUUUUAAAGGAGUGGACAAUAAAGUAAUGCAACACUUGUACUAAUACCUGAAAGCCACAAGAAUAUUUCCAUAGCAAAGUUUCCUAUUUAAAAAUUAACAGGGCACUUUGCUGGAGUUUCUUUGGAUUAGAACGCAAUCUCUAUAUUCCCCUCAGAAAUGUGAAUCCAGGCAAAAGAUUUGAAUUACGAAAGUGACUGUCAUCACUGUCUAUGAUAUGAUAGGUUUGUAGCCAGAUUUGUUCUUUAAAAAGUGGUCAAGGUAGGUAAAUGUACUAAUUCACAGUGAUUCAGCAAUAGUUUUAACAGGCACUUUAACUUCCAGUUCACAUAUAGGACAUGCAGCAAUUUGUGGGUUUAAAAAAAAAAAGUCAUUGCAGUAAAAAUCCAUUGAAGACAAAAACUGUAUUGUAAUUUUUAUGAUUCUAGCAGUAUGGAAAGCAGCAGGGUAGUUUUUGCUAGGGUUUUUUUUGUUAAGAGUAAAUAAUCUUGUUUUUCUCUAGGAUGAACAAACUCCAGAGUAGGACAUUAUUUUGAAUGCAAACAAACAGCAACAAGCAACAACUAAAUCAAUAUAGAAACCAAACAUCUUCCUUGUGUCCUGCUAUGACAGCUGUACUUUACUGGGCCACUCAUGUUGUUGGUUCAUGGACUGAACUCUUCAGGACCAACAGCUGGCCUCUUUUGUGCACGUGGAACCCAUUUCUAAUAGUCUGCCAGGCUCAGAAUUUGAAGAGUUUCAGGAUGCAGAGUAGAAGCACUCUUCAAUUUUGGCCUUUAUCUGGUGAUCACUCUAGCAGAAGGGAACAGUGGGGUGUUUUGUUUGUUUUUUUAUAGCAACUAUUCUAAAGACACUAUUUGCUUUAAACUUGUAUGAGAUAACACAAUGGUUACUGUUUGCAUAUUAAAUACAUUGUUUCUUUCCACGGUCAACAAUCUGUGGGACUGUAGACUAGGUGUCUGUGAAAGACUGACUGAAAACUGAACAGAAUUCAGCUAUAGAUCCACAGAUUUCCAAAGAGGUCCAUGCCUCCAUUUGAAAUUUCCAAAUGGGGUCCACAAAUGAAAAGGACUGAGAACUGCUGACUUAAGAAAAAGUCUUUUUUGUAAUAUUAUUUUAUGACCAACCAUUCAAAAGACUAGAUAUAUAGAGCGUCAGAAAUAGCACUAACACUGAAAUCUAUGGGAUAGGUCAGCAAAACAGAUCACAAAACAUAUGGGGUUUCCAUCUCUUAUUAUAUUGUAUACGUAUGGAUAUAAAAAGCUUAGACAGCUACUUAUUGUGACUGGUCAGUUCUAAGAGUUUGCAGCACUUUAGUGUGUAUGGAGACUGAAUCUAUCCAAGCUAGAGUCCUCAUCCAAGGUUUCUUCACGAUCUGAGUAACUCAACAAAUUACCCAUCAGACAGAGCCUUUGCAAAUAUCCUGUAUAUAUCCAAUUCUUGGUGGCAGUUUGUCCAAAGAGCAUUUUUGAGAGUAAUAUUCAGGAUUUUGAAAUGGGAUUUUGUAAUUUACAUGAUCUCAUGAUCCAGUGACAGUCUCUCCAGUAAGAUUAUUUUGUUUAGCGAUUUUGUAAUGUCAGUGUUGAAAUAAAUCAUAAAUAACU